CAAUAGCGUAUAUUAAAGUUGUUGCAGUUAAAAAGCUCGUAGUUGGAUUUGUGGCGUACGGUGGGUUCCGGGCACUUGUUGUCUGAGUAACUUGCUGUUGCCAUCCUUGGGUGGAACCUGUGUGGCAUUAGGUUGUCGUGCAGGGGAUGCUCAUCAUUUACUGUGAAAAAAUUAGAGUGUUCAAAGCAGGCUUAUGCCGUUGAAUAUAUUAGCAUGGAAUAAUGAGAUAGGACUUUUUUGCUAUUUUGUUGGUUUGCGCAAAGAGGUAAUGAUUAAUAGGGACAGUUGGGGGUAUUCGUAUUCCAUUGUCAGAGGUGAAAUUCUUGGAUUUUUGGAAGACGAACUACUGCGAAAGCAUUUACCAAGGAUGUUUUCAUUA
rnacentral:rRNA from 1 species